rnacentral:rRNA from 1 species
UUUGAAAGAAGAAAGUGCCGUUUGGAACGUAUACACAGGUGGUGCAUGGCUGUCGUCAGCUGGUGUCGUGAGAUGUUGGGUUAAGUCCCGCAACGAGCUCAACCCUCAUUUUUAGUUGCCUUAUGGAACUCUAGAAAGACUGCCGGUUAUAAACCGGAGGAAGGCGGGGAUGACGUCAAGUCAGCAUGCCCCUUACACCCUGGGCUACACACGUGCUACAAUGGGCGAGACAAUGAGACGCAAAUCUGCGAAGAAUAGCUAAUCUAUAAACUCGUUCUAAGUUCGGAUUGUAGGCUGCAACUCGCCUGCAUGAAGUUGGAAUCGCUAGUAAUCGCUGGUCAGCUACACAGCGGUGAAUUCGUUCCCGGGCCUUGUACACACCGCCCGUCACACCAUGGAAGCUGGUUAUGCCCAAAGUCGUUACUCUAACCUUUUGGAGG